rnacentral:rRNA from 1 species
AUGUCGUCUGAGUACUAUAUUAUAGCUAAAACUUUCAACAACGGAUCUCUUGGUUCUGGCAUCGAUGAAGUACGCAGCGAAAUGCAAUAAGUUAUGUGCAAUGCAGAAUUCAGUGAAUCAUCGAAUCAUUUGUAACGACAAUGCACACCAUGGUUAUUCAC